CCUACGGGCGGCAGCAGUGGGGAAUAUUGGACAAUGGGCGAAAGCCUGAUCCAGCCAUGCCGCGUGUGUGAAGAAGGCCUUCGGGUUGUAAAGCACUUUCAGUGGGGAAGAAAGCCUUGGGGCUAAUACCCUCGAGGAAGGACAUCACCCACAGAAGAAGCACCGGCUAACUCCGUGCCAGCAGCCGCGGUAAUACGGAGGGUGCGAGCGUUAAUCGGAAUUACUGGGCGUAAAGCGCGCGUAGGCGGUCUGAUAAGCCGGUUGUGAAAGCCCCGGGCUCAACCUGGGAACGGCAUCCGGAACUGUCAGGCUAGAGUGCAGGAGAGGAAGGUAGAAUUCCCGGUGUAGCGGUGAAAUGCAUAGAGAUCGGGAGGAAUACCAGUGGCGAAGGCGGCCUUCUGGACUGACACUGACGCUGAGGUGCGAAAGCGUGGGUAGCAAACAGGAUUAGAUACCCCGGUAGUC
rnacentral:rRNA from 1 species